CUAUUAAGUCUGACAGAUGAAGGCCAUCCCAAUGGUAAAACUGCAGAAGGCGCAGAUGGGAUCAACAACACACAAGAUAAAGAUGGCAUAGCCAAUAAGGAAGAGGGUGAUGUCCCACAAAAGAAACACAAGAAGCACAAGAAGCACAAGAAACA